GGGUCAGUAGGUUGGUCGUGCCACCGGUACGUACUGGUCUCACUGAUUCCUCCUUCCUGAAGGACCGUAAUGCCAUUAAUUUGGUGUUGCGGGGAAGCAGGACUGUUACUUUGAGAAAAUUAGAGUGUUUAAAGCAAGCUAACGCUUGAAUACAUUAGCAUGGAAUAAUGAAAUAGGACGAUCGAUCCUAUUUUGCUGGUUUCUAGGAUUGACGUA
rnacentral:rRNA from 1 species